rnacentral:rRNA from 1 species
GAGAGUCAAAAAGACCGCGAAACCGUUAGGAGGGAAACGAAUGCAGCUGAAGUGGCUCCCCGUCAGGCUCAGGAUGAGUCGAUGGGCUCUGCUUUUCCGUCGGGAGCCGUGAGGCCCUGCGGGGGAGCGGGUCGUCGACGACUCUGCAUUUCUGCGGGGAGCCGGCCAACAGCAGUUGUUCCUGGCUCAGAAGGGCCCCUGGGAAGGUAGCCCCACGCCUGGCGUGGGGAACUUAUAGCCUCGGGUCUGGCCAGUCUGGGAGCGACUGAGGAGAGAUCUGCGAUUCUUCGCACGAGCAGCGUGGGCCUUCGGGCUGGGCCGCUCUUGUUCGGUCGGCGGUCGACGUCGUCACUGCGUGCAGUGGCUUCUGUGGACUCUGCAGUCCGGGCUCGAUGUGUGUCACACCUCGCGCUGCGGUUGUUGGUGCCCAAAUGGCUGCAUCCGACCCGUCU